rnacentral:rRNA from 1 species
AGUGAACGCUGGCGGUAGGCCUAACACAUGCAAGUCGAACGGCAGCACAGGAGAGCUUGCUCUCUGGGUGGCGAGUGGCGGACGGGUGAGGAAUACAUCGGAAUCUACUCUGUCGUGGGGGAUAACGUAGGGAAACUUACGCUAAUACCGCAUACGACCUACGGGUGAAAGCAGGGGAUCUUCGGACCUUGCGCGAUUGAAUGAGCCGAUGUCGGAUUAGCUAGUUGGCGGGGUAAAGGCCCACCCAGGCGACGAUCCGUAGCUGGUCUGAGAAGAUGAACAGCCACACUGGAACUGAGACACGGUCCAGACUCCUACGGGAGGCAGCAGUGGGGAAUAUUGGACAAUGGGCGCAAGCCUGAUCCAGCCAUACCGCGUGGGUGAAGAAGGCCUUCGGGUUGUAAAGCCCUUUUGUUGGGAAAGAAAUCCAGCUGGCUAAUACCCGGUUGGGAUGACGGUACCCAAAGAAUAAGCACCGGCUAACUUCGUGCCAGCCGCCGCGGUAA